CGCACGGGUGAGUAACACGUAUCCAACCUGCCGUCUACUCUUGGACAGCCUUCUGAAAGGAAGAUUAAUACAAGAUGGCAUCAUGAGUCCGCAUGUUCACAUGAUUAAAGGUAUUCCGGUAGACGAUGGGGAUGCGUCCAUUAGAUAGUAGGCGGGGUAACGGCCCACCUAGUCUUCGAUGGAUAGGGGUUCUGAGAGGAAGGUCCCCCACAUUGGAACUGAGACACGGUCCAA
rnacentral:rRNA from 1 species